AGUUGCGUGUGGUAGCUUGUUGACAACAGAACCGGGCACCGGAUGCGGAUGCCAAAAAGAAAACUCUCUGAAACGAAACACCAAUUAGCAGCAGCAGCAGCAGCAGCAGCAGCAGCAGCGAGCAACUAAUUGCAACUAAUUAAAAGUUUCUGAUAUAUAAAUACAUAUGUAUAUGCGAAUGAAAAUGGCAAUGUUAAUGCAAGUGUAAGCAAAACGAAGAAGUCGAAGAAGAGAAGGCGAAAAGAAAGCAAGAUAGAAAGAAAGAAAUAGUGUUUGUUGGUCAGUGUAAAAGUCGAGAGUGCUGCAACAACCAGUUGCAGCUGGAGCCAGACCGAUGCAUGUGGCGCACAGUUAAGUACCGUUAACAUUAGAGUCAAGUUAGUUAACUACAAUGCCAUCUCCUCCAUUUCCUAUUGGUCAACUAGAAGCGAAAAUCGAAUCAACAGCCGCCAGUUGCUAAGCCCGAGAUUUCACGUGGAAGCAGCAGCAGCAUAAAUAAAU